CCUACGGGUGGCAGCAGUGAGGAAUAUUGGUCAAUGGGCGCAAGCCUGAACCAGCCAAGUAGCGUGAAGGAUGACGGCCCUAUGGGUUGUAAACUUCUUUUAUAAGGGGAUAAAGUGCGUCACGUGUGCCGUUUUGUAUGUACCUUAUGAAUAAGGAUCGGCUAAUUCCGUGCCAGCAGCCGCGGUAAUACGGAGGGUCCGGGCGUUAUCCGGAUUUAUUGGGUUUAAAGGGAGCGUAGACGGGUUGUUAAGUCAGUUGUGAAAGUUCGCGGCUCAACCGUGGAAUUGCAGUUGAUACUGGCAGUCUUGAGUGCAGUGGAGGUAGGCGGAAUUCGUGGUGUAGCGGUGAAAUGCUUAGAUAUCACGAAGAACUCCGAUUGCGAAGGCAGCUUACUGAACUGCUACUGACGCUGAGGCUCGAAAGUGUGGGUAUCAAACAGGAUUAGAUACCCGUGUAGUC
rnacentral:rRNA from 1 species